UGAGCAAUCUGCCCUUCUCUUCGGAAUAAGCGUUGGAAACGACGUCUAAUGCCGAAUACGACCUCCUUUCGCAUGAUCGGGGUGGAAAGCUCCGGCGGAGAAGGAUGAGCUCGCGGCCUAUCAGCUAGUUGGUGUGGGUAAUGGCCCACCAAGGCGACGACGGGUAGCCGGCCUGAGAGGGUGACCGGCCACACGUGGGACUGUGACACGGCCCAGACCUCCGUACGGGAGCAGC
rnacentral:rRNA from 1 species